CCCUGCUACAGCGACCACCACAGAACAUCAGUAUGUAUAGCGUUGUCUCUCUCUCCUCCCUGCUGCAGCGACCACAACAGAAUAUCAGUAUGUAUAGUGUUGUCUCUCUCUCCUCCCUGCUACAGCGACCACCACAUAAUAUCAGUAUGUAGUGUUCCCUCUCUCUCCUCCCUGCUACAGCGACCACCACAGAACAUCAGUAUGUAUAGUGUUUGUUCUCUCUCUCCUCCCUGCUACAGCGACCACCACAGAAUAUCAGUAUGUAUAGUGUUGUCUCUCUCUCCUCCCUGCUACAGCGACCACCACAGAAUAUCAGUAUGUAUAGUGUUGUCUCUCUCUCCUCCCUGCUACAGCGACCACCACAUAAUAUCAG